AUGCCCGCGCAGGUCCUAGCAGCUUCGCAAGGCUUCUUUUUCAUCCCACUCUCUAGUGACAACCACCAUAUACUAUCACGCAUGCAGAAGGCCGGGUUGCAUAUGGGACUGGAAGGCACCGGGAAUUAUUUUGGGGUCUUGGCAUGUUGUUCACGAGCAAAAGCAGGUGGAUCUAGUUGCACCAGUGCCAGCACCAGUGACGACGGGUGUCCAACAAAAGGAGACCGACGUGAGAAGCCAGACAGACAUAUCGCGCACCCCUCCUCCAAUGUCACACCUGUAGGAGUCCAAGACAAGGAGGCCGUCUCUCAUCAAAUUAGUUGGCACCAGAUUCACCUCACCACUGCCAAAGACGAAACACGAUGUGAGCCAUACGCUCCUGACGAGCGAGACGCAAAAAGCAUCAUGCGGUCGGCCGACUAG
rnacentral:rRNA from 1 species